rnacentral:lncRNA from 1 species
GUCAAACUAUUCAAGACAAUCUUAGAAAGAUAUUUAUGGUUAAACCAAUAGUUAUUAAAUUCGAAAGGGUUAGGCCCCUAAAGUUGUUAUGAGUAUUGGAUGACCAAUGGAAAAUUAUUAGAGAUAUCCCUCUGUAAGUCCUAUUAAGAUGUCAAAUCCCACAAAAUCCACCAACCUUUAGAAACUAGAAUUGCAUCGAUCCAACAUGCCGUUUUCCUAUUAAAUUGAAAC